GAGAGUAUAGCUCAGUGGUAGAGCGUGUGAUUAGCAUGCACAAUGUCCUGGGUUCAAUCCCCAGUACCUCCA
rfam:Camelus ferus unplaced genomic scaffold scaffold775, whole genome shotgun sequence.